rnacentral:rRNA from 1 species
UACGUAGGUGGCAAGCGUUGUCCGGAUUUACUGGGCGUAAAGAGCGCGCAGGCGGUCGUUCAAGUCGCGUGUGAAAGCCCCCGGCUCAACUGGGGAGGGUCACGCGAUACUGAUCGACUCGAAGGCAGGAGAGGGAAGUGGAAUUCCUGGUGUAGCGGUGAAAUGCGCAGAUAUCAGGAGGAACACCUGCGGUGUAGACGGCUUACUGGACCAUAACUGACGCUGAGGCACGAAAGCGUGGGUAGCAAACAGG